UACGGAGGGUGCAAGCGUUAUCCGGAUUUACUGGGUUUAAAGGGUGUGUAGGCGGACUUUUAAGUCAGGGGUGAAAUCCCGAGGCUCAACCUCGGAACUGCCUUUGAUACUAUUGGUCUUGAAUGCUGUUGAGGUGGGCGGAACGGGUCAUGUAGCGGUGAAAUGCAUAGAUAUGAUACAGAACACCGAUAGCGAAGGCAGCUUGCUGAACCAAUAUUGACGCUGAGGCACGAAAGCGUGGGGAGCGAACAGG
rnacentral:rRNA from 1 species